rnacentral:rRNA from 1 species
GAUGAACGCUGGCGGCGUGCCUAAUACAUGCAAGUAGAACGCUGAAGGAGGAGCUUGCUCUUCUGGAUGAGUUGCGAACGGGUGAGUAACGCGUAGGUAACCUGCCUGGUAGCGGGGGAUAACUAUUGGAAACGAUAGCUAAUACCGCAUGACAACAGUUAUUGCAUGAUAACUGUUUAAAAGGGGCAACUGCUCCACUACCAGAUGGACCUGCGUUGUAUUAGCUAGUUGGUGAGGUAACGGCUCACCAAGGCGACGAUACAUAGCCGACCUGAGAGGGUGAUCGGCCGCACUGGGACUGAGACACGGCCCAGACUCCUACGGGAGGCAGCAGUAGGGAAUCUUCGGCAAUGGACGGAAGUCUGACCGAGCAACGCCGCGUGAGUGAAGAAGGUUUUCGGAUCGUAAAGCUCUGUUGUAAGAGAAGAACGAGUGUGAGAGUGGAAAGUUCACACUGUGACGGUAUCUUACCAGAAAGGGACGGCUAACUACGUG